AACGAACGCUGGCGGCAUGCCUAACACAUGCAAGUCGAACGAGACCUUCGGGUCUAGUGGCGCACGGGUGCGUAACGCGUGGGAACCUGCCCUUAGGUUCGGAAUAACUCCCCGAAAGGGGUGCUAAUACCGGAUAAUGUCUUCGGACCAAAGAUUUAUCGCCUUUGGAUGGGCCCGCGUUGGAUUAGCUAGUUGGUAGGGUAAAAGCCUACCAAGGCGACGAUCCAUAGCUGGUCUGAGAGGAUGAUCAGCCACACUGGGACUGAGACACGGCCCAGACUCCUACGGGAGGCGGCAGUGGGGAAUAUUGGACAAUGGGCGGAAGCCUGAUCCAGCAAUGCCGCGUGAGUGAUGAAGGCCUUAGGGUUGUAAAGCUCUUUUACCCGGGAUGAUAAUGACAGUACCGGGAGAAUAAGCUCCGGCUAACUCCGUG
rnacentral:rRNA from 1 species